rnacentral:misc_RNA from 1 species
GAUGAAGAACGUAGCGAAAUGCGAUAAGUAAUGUGAAUUGCAGAAUUCAGUGAAUCAUCGAAUCUUUGAACGCACCUUGCGCUCCUUGGCAUUCCGAGGAGCAUGCCUGUUUGAGUGUCAUUAAAUUCUCAAGACCUGUCUGCUUUUUUGAUAGGUAUUGGAUUUUGGGGGUUGCAGGCUGUUUCAAAUAAAUAGCCUUGCUCUCCUUGAAUGUAUUAGUGGAGAAAAGCCAUUGAACUCCAUUGGUGUGAUAAAACCUAUCAAUGCCAGGAGCAAUAUCACUACUUCUCUCUGCUGUCUAACUGUGACUGUCUGUAUUAAUUAGUAUGGAUGGGGACAACUUGACCAACUUGACCUCAAAUCAGGUAGGACUACCCGCUGAACUUAAGCAUAUCAAUAAGCGGA